rnacentral:lncRNA from 1 species
CCACUCUGUUAAAUAAGCAUUAGGAAGAAUGAAACGGUACUCACCAUUGUCAUCGCCAAUACUCGGAAGAUUAUCCAUGAGGUUGCUUUGAUCGAAAGAGACGGGGCUCUGUUUAUGCUCCAUCAUCUUUUCCUCUAUUGCUUCAUCUCACUAAAUAAGAAACAAGUAGACGAAAAAGCUCCUAUACAGGCAAUCCAUUUAAUUAUAAUUGAAGUAGUAACAUCAAUAUCUGAUGUUACACUGUAGAAAUACAUUCAUAUCAGUGCAGAGCGGGUCAUCUUAGACUCUGGAAAAAAUUAGCAUCCAUGAGGACUAGGGUAAAAUUACGUAGAUACUUCUUGUGGUUUUGUAUAAUAUGACAAUGAAAUAAUUUAACUGAACUAAAUUUAAUUUUAAAAGGAUCUGCUUAUUUAGAAAAAUCAUUUUAUUCUGAUAAUCAAUGCUCUCAAAUCAAUUAUGAACUCAAUUAUUUGAAAUAAGUAACUUUUGCAACUUAAAAUACUUUAUUAUAAGCACUCCAAAUAAAAUUUAUGAACUAAUAUAAAUUAAUGAAUGCUUAUUUUUUGAAAUAAGUUUUUCGCUCACCAAGUUAUAGACUGCAAACUAGGUCAAACGGUACGAUCUUCGCCACCUUCUUACGUUCAAGUAUCAAGUUUAGAAUCUCAUACUAGUCCGAUACAUCGUAUCUUUUUGUAGAGUUGCCUCAAGUGUCAUUACUAUCAUUGGGAAUACAGAGUAACUAAUAGUAACUUGAUGUCUUUGAUUUUCAACCUCAUAAUCCCAAUUAAAGUCUAAUUACGUGUAACUCCUUUACAUGAGUUAUUUUAAUACAAAAUCCCCAACAUUUGAAACAUUUUCAUACUAAAAAAUCCAUGAAGAUCAAAAUAUUGACAAAAAUAACACUAUGCUUCCAAACUAUUGUAAUAGGGCAUCAGUUUCUGUAUAUUGAACACUUUCACUAAAACUUUGACAAAAUAGCUCUUUUUGGGCAUAAUUUCGAAGUGGAAUCGAUGUGGGAAUUUUGCACGAAAAUGGAAGAAAAUAUAUAGUAUAUUGAAUAUCACAUCAAGUGAGACUAGUUUUUUGGAUGAUUUUAAUCCUAUACAAUUCAAUUAUUUAAAUAAUACAUUACUUUUCGUUUUUCAAUAUGUAAUAAAUGCUACAAAUUUCUUAUCAAAUAUGAAUUUCAUGUUAUUAAUUUUCAAUUAAUUAACAUUUAAUUAAUCUAGAUUCAAUGAAUUUUGAUUUGAUAAAUCUUGAUCUACAGAAAUCAUCAAAGUUGAGUUUUGAGAGUACUUCUCUUAAAUUUCUAUCCUAAAUUUAUUUUCUUUAAUUCAUUUGAAACUUAUUAAAUCCUCCCAACAAAUUAAUAUCAACUGUUACUUUUAUAAGACCUAUAAAGUAUUUCAGAAUAACAUGUUCAACUCUAACUCGUAAGUUAAAAAUACCCAAAUCAAACCUCAAAUCAUCAUCUCACUCUAAUACAUCAUAAAUCGAGUAUUGGCAUCAUAUACACACAAUAAAUUUAAAUGUUGAAGUUCUGAUUUACAAAUCCAUUUCAUAUUUUCACUUCAACACUAAUAUUCCAAUAUACAUUAUUAUUUGCAAUAUUAUUGUUUAAUACCUCAAAUACAUAUCAAUAAUCUUCAGUUCUUGCUAAACUUAGAAUAUAAGCAAAUUGUCCCUAAACCUUAAAAUCAAACCUCUUUUUUCAAUAAGUAAACAUAUUGCUCACCUCUAGAAAUUGAAGAACCUGAACUCAUUAAUGUUUAGCUGUUGUCUCUUUCUUUCUUCUUCUUCUUCUCUUUUUCUUUCCUUUCUUUCCUUUCUCUCGUUUUUCUCUGCUUCUAUUACCUCUUUACAAAUGACGAAAGGUACCAAAUGAGAUUUAAGCAAAACAAUAUCUUAACUUGCAAAUAACUUCCAAGUUAAGAUAACUUCCUUUAUCUCUUGGCUGAAAAAUUGAUAAAAAGAAAAAAGUUAAGUCCCAUAACAUGUACAAUCAAAAAUGAAUUUAAGAAAAAGACAAAAAAAAAAAAAAAAAAAGGAACAGCGACUGGUUUACACAAAUUAAUAAAGAACCUUUACACUAUAUUUUCUAUUUCAAUUAAAUCCAAGUUAACCACUUCUACUCGAUCUGACCUACAUUACAAUACUGAGUGUAACGAAGAAAAGUAUGAUCUUUACGAGUAUGAACAGAAGAACCCAAUAGUGAAUUGAAGAAGCUUCCUUAAUUCCUAGCUGGGACCUUUUUUGAGUUCAUUAGAACAAGAAAAAAUUCAUAAGGUAAAAGCUUUAUUCGCGAGAUGGAGAUUGACGUCUUGUACAAAAAUAAAAUUAUUGAAUUUCAUAGUUGAUGAUCAUGUAUGUUGUAUCGUUUAUAGUUUGUUGUUUGUUCUGAAUUUGUUUACAAACUGAAGCUGUAUUUUUUAUACUGAAUGUUAAAAAUUGACGACAAUUUGAUGCUCUUACGUUUCCAAGUAAAUAUGCUACUUAAUUUAGUCAUGGUUAUUAGGCUACAUUUACCUAAAAGACAUGUUUAAUUGCCGUCAAUUUUUAUCGUCCAAGUAGGAUUAGCACGUUUAGCAACAAGAGCUAAUGGAAAGAGUUGAUCGUCAAUAUUUGAACACCUUUGUAGCUUACGUCUAAGCACAUCCCACACCCAAAUACAUUCUUAUUAGCGACUCAUAUAAUUGUCGGAGUGCAUGUAGCUACCUCCCUCACCUUCAAAGAAGGCCACGUGCUGCAAAUGAUUUAUACAAGUGUGCAGGCAAUAUAUUAUGUGAACGUGAGUAUGAGGGGUACGGUGGAUUGGAGGAAGAUGACUAAUUUAUUUUGUUUUUUUCUUGGGUAAUUAAUUAUAUUUAUACCUUACUUUUUAUUUGGUGCAUCACAUUUUAAUUGCAAUAAAGAUACUCAAUCUUUUCUCAUUAUUGUAAUCAUAAACUUCUUUUAAUUAAUUAGCACAUGUUGCUUGGUGAAGAUAAAAAUAUGUUUAAAAAAGUAAUUAACUUAUACACUACAAUGGGAAAAGAUUAAGUAACCUUAAAUUCAAUUAAAAUAUAAAACAAAUAAUGAAAAUUGUUGGGCGAAUAUAAAUAACCUUAUAAUUAUCCAUUUAAUACUUUUUUGAUAUAUCUAACGUUAUAGACAAAUAAUAGUAUAAUCACAUGAAUUAUUUAACGGCCUACUUGGAUGGAAACCGUCGUUGAGAACAAAACUUGAUAAUCAACAAAAACUUUUGUAGAGUGCAAUGUCAAAAAGGAAAGAGCAACAAGAGGCAAACAAUGGGGAUAAAAUUAACCAUAUGGUACUAAAAUCAACCCAAAUAUUGGCUAAAUCAAUAAGACCAUAACAAAUUGUUAAUCACGGAAAAAAAAAAUGAUAGAAUUAAAAUUUCGAAAUAGGAUUUUCAUCAUUGUCCUAUCUAUUUGAAAAUUAGCUACUCGUGCUCAAACUGUAUAAAUACAUACUAGAAAAGGAGGACAUGACCCGGAUCGUUGAGAACAAAACUUGAUAAUCAACAAAAAGUUGAGCUUAAACUGCGACGUAAAAAGGAGAUAGCAAACGUGCUACAAGAGGCAAACAUUGGGGACAUCGAGUGCAAUUUAGCCAAAAUAAAAUAAGCAAUAGUUUAAGCAUGGAUGUUUCUAUUAACAUGAAUCUAGUAAGCAAGAACCCUUUAAAUCCCAUUUUACUACAGAAAAUUGAAUCUUACGGUAAACCACGCAAGACAGCUUGAAUAGAUAAUUCAACUUCAAUAAUGCAGUGAUCUUCAACUGAAAAUCCUUUAUAAGGGUUAUUUAUAUCAGCGACUAGAAUGCAACUAGGCCAUCCAUAACUGCUGCUUGAAGCCGAAAACCAGUGAUUUGCUGAAAAAAUAAAAUUAUUGAAUGCAGAUAUAAUGAUAACAAUUAGUAGCAUGAAGUUCAGUAACAGAAGAAAGUUGUUUUCUUACCGAGACGCUUGCUACUUGCUUUUCCAUACUUGUUCUUCAUGCAUAUGGAGAAAUGUGCCUUAAUUUUUUUUUUUUUUAAUUGCAUGAAAGAUUUAUAACAUUUAUUCAUUAUUAGAUUUGUCUCCAAUUUUUUCAUCACAUUCGGAUAUUUAAGGCCCUGUUUUAGCCCCAUUAUUUCAUUGUUAAAAUAAAAAAUAUGACAUUUAUCCAUCACAUUAAGCAACCAUAUUUGACUUUUUAUUUUUUGUGUGGGAUCCAUAAUGACUAUAUUUUUUAUUUUCAUUUUUAAAAUAAUGUAGCUCAAAUGGGGGCGUAACUUUUCAUCAAUUAGCACAUCUUGUCCUCAAUGACAGUUUCUAUUAAAAAAAUUCACUAAUGAGCAUUGAACUCUUCAGAAUACCAUUCAUUUUCCAAUUCCGAGAAUUUUGAAACCUCCAAUUCAUGCUUAUAGGAAUUAGUUGCUUUCAAGAUAGACAAGCACUCUCUAAUUCUUUCGUUCUUGACAACAAAAACCUCCGCUCCAAAUACACAAGUAUCAUUGACAAGGUAUCCAUUCCUUGGAUCCAUCAAAGUUUCCUUCUUGAUGAAUUUGGAAAAGCCCCACUCAAGGUUUAUAAUAUGAAAACGUCGUUGACCUGCACCGAGAGGGGAGCUACUUGAGAUUAAAUUUAUAGUAAAUGCUCUUUUAUUCUAUUUAGAAGUAGAUAAUACCUUUCUUAAACACAUAUUUGUCAAGUUUGUGAUUAAACAGAAAGAUGCUGACGACGGCAUUAUUCAAAUGGGGGCGUAACUUUUCAUCAAUUAGCACAUCUUGUCCUCAAUGACAGUUUCUAUUAAAAAAAUUCACUAAUGAGUAAAAAGACUAGUUUGCAAAUUGUAUUUUGAAUAAGCAAUAAAAAUAAAAAUUACAAAUACAAAAUGGAGAGUGAAUAUUCUCUCUCUCGUUUAAGAGCACGUUAAUACAAUUUUUGAACGAAAAUCUUCGUUAAGGAUUAUCUUUGCUAAUAAAUGAAAUGUUAAGAAUAAUACUAUGGUGAAAAAAAGUUAAAGGCAAAAAUGUGACACCGAUAACGGGUCAAAAACAAUGCAAUUAAAAUGUGAUGCACUUAUUAAAAAAAUGUGGUAUAUAUUUUACUAGGGCUAAACAACAACAAAAUUGAACCGAAACUGCUUUUUUAAAAUCGUUGGUUUAGAUCCACAUGGAUUCGUUAACGUUUAAAGUUCGAACCAAACCAAACCGUUUCGAAAUGAUUCGUUUUAGGUUUCAAUCUUUGCAAACCAUUUAUAAAAAAAAGUAAAUAAUAAUAAUAAUUUAAUUUAAAUUUGUUUCAACCAAAUUAAAAUUAAAUACAUCCAGUUAAAAUAAUAUAUUGAUAUUAGACACAAUCAAAUUAAACUCAACGCCUAAGUGAAUAGAUAUCAAUCCCAAUCAAAUCAUCCCCAAAUAUCCAUCAUUCAUUGCAAGUGUGAACGCAAAACCUUAAAUUGAAUGAAGUGUCGAAGAAUUCCUACUAAACCAUAUUCAUCAAUUGCUUAUUACAAUUGAGUAGACUAUUAAUUAUAGAUUUUAAUUCAAAAUUACACAUUAAAUGGUCGUUUUGAAGAUUUAACCAAUGAGUCUUAAUUGAAUGUAAAUAAAUACAAGAUUGUCCCCUUAAAUUGCUAAAGACGUGUUAGCUAUUCAAAUAUUCACAAUUCUUUUUGAAUUUGCAUUUCCUACUAGUAAUCAAAUUCUUGAUUCAGUUGGUGAGGUUGCUUUGAUCGAAAGAGACGGGGCUCUGUUUAUGCUCCAUCAUCUUUUCCUCUAUUGCUUCAUCUCACUAAAUAAGAAACAAGUAGACGAAAAAGCUCCUAUACAGGCAAUCCAUUUAAUUAUAAUUGAAGUAGUAACAUCAAUAUCUGAUGUUACACUGUAGAAAUACAUUCAUAUCAGUGCAGAGCGGGUCAUCUUAGACUCUGAAAAAAAUUCGCAUCCAUGAGGACUAGGGUAAAAUUAAAUAGAUACUUCUUGUGGUUUUGUAUAAUAUGACAAUGAAAUAAUUUAACUGAACUAAAUUUAAUUUUAAAAGGAUCUACUUAUUUAGAAAAAUCAUUUUAUUCUGAUAAUCAAUGCUCUCAAAUCAAUUAUGAACUCAAUUAUUUGAAAUGAGUAACU